AUAAAGGGACAAAGCCCGGAGAAGUUUCUGGACUCUCUCACACAGCCGCUUCGUCUAUAAAAUAACAAAAACCAGUCCGACUGUUAUUGACAGGAGCUCAAUUGUGCAGAUAAAAAUGGCUGAUGAUAUCUUUGGGUUCCGGUAUCCUUUUAGGCGACUCUUGUGGAGCCCUUCGGUGUUCCGCGAAUGGUCUGGAUCUCCACCUCCCAUGGACUGGGUUGAAACUUCUUCCGCUCAUAUCUUCAAACUCAAUGUUCCUGGUACCACUUUUCCCUCUCUGUUGGCAAGAUAAUGGAUUUUUUCGAAUUCAGCAGUAAUUGGAGUUGAAUUUAAUAGCUUUGCAAUGGGUUCCAUCUGACUUUGAACUUCUUGUGUUGAUUUCUUAUUUUAUUCCGAAUUAAAAGCUUUGCUGACCAAUUAUAUGUUAUGGGUUUUAUCCGUUAUUUGAUUCUUUCUACUUUCUAAUAGAACUUUCAAAAUUUUUUGCUCGAUUAGCUUCUUUGAUCCAUUAUAUUAAUGAAUUUUGUUUGUCAACUAAAGUCUUGGCUUUUUAAGAGUUGAAUUUUAAUGGGAUUUCCUAUGUUGAGAAAAAUUGUUGAAGCAAAUUCUUUUUUUGUGAACAGGAUACAACAAAGAGGAAAUCAAGGUUCAGGUGGAAGAAGGAAAUAUUUUGCACGUAAGGGCAGAGGUGGGUAAAGAGGAAGGCCAUGGAAAUGACACAGUUUGGCAUCUUGCAGAGAGAGGGACAGGAAGGAGAAGCUUUUCUCGAGAAAUUGAAUUGUCAGAAAAUGCAAAGGUGGAUCAAAUUAAAGCUCUGGUGGAGAAUGGUGUACUCACCAUUGUUGUGCCCAAGGAUACAAGUCCAAAGCCAUCUAAAGUGAGAAAUAUUAACAUCACUAGCAAGCUCUGAGAAGAAAAUCUGAUGUUCCAUUUGCACUGAAGUUAGCUGAGAAUAAUUGCUCAAGAAAAAAUAAAAGCUGAAAAUAAUGUUGGCGUUAUAAACCGUUGUUCCUUUAUUUUGCAUACUUGUCAAUAAAAUUUGCCUUGUGAUGAACAUUUCCCAAAGGCCAUAUAUGGAU
rnacentral:misc_RNA from 1 species